CCUACGGGUGGCAGCAGUGAGGAAUAUUGGUCAAUGGGCGAGAGUCUGACCCAGCAAAGUAGCGUGAAGGAUGACUGACCUCUGGGUUGUAAACUUCUUUUAUAAAGGAAUAAAACGAGGCACGUGUGCCUUGUUGCAUGUCCUUUAUGAAUAAGGAACGGCUAACUCCGUGCCAGCAGCCGCGGUAAUAAGAAGGCUCCGAGCGUUAUCCGGAUUGAUUGGGUUUAAAGGGAGCGUAGAUGGGUUGGUAAGUCAGUUGUGAAAGUUUGCGGCUCAACCGUAAAAUUGCAAUUGAUACUGGCAGUCUUGAGUACAGUUGAGGUAGGCGGAAUUCGUGGUGUAGCGGUGAAAUGCUUAGAUAUCACGAAGAACCCCGAUUGCGAAGGCAGCUUACUAAACUGUGACUGACAUUGAUGCUCGAAAGUGUGGGUAUCAAACAGGAUUAGAUACCCCAGUAGUC
rnacentral:rRNA from 1 species